UGCUGCUAGCAAGUCCAGCUCCAUGUCACUCCCUAGAAAAUAUAUUUAAAUAAGAAGGGGGGAAAAAGUACAAACUCAUUGUGGAACAAGACAAGGUCCAAUAAACCAGAAUAUCAUAUGGUAACAGAAGGGUGGAAGGGCAGAGAGGAGGGAUUACUACGACAACAAGCAUAACUGCCCGCUUAGUAGGAGAAAAAUGACUAGGCAAAUGAUGGUACUCAGUAGACUAUUACACUCCAAUUCAAAAUCUGUUCUGCAUUGCCUAAGAAAAGCCUCUCAUCUACCACAAUGAAGACAAUUACAACCACCUCUUCCACAUCCGCGGAAACAAUGUCAUCCUGUUCUUCGUCUCUGCCCCGAACGGGCUGCGACUGGCUGAUGCGCCUCUGCUGGGGGUUCCGGAUGAUAUAGGAAGACUGAGAUUGACUGGAGCUGCAGAGAAAUGGGAGCUUAUGAGGGUGCUGCUGCCACCCCUCUGCCACACAGCACACUUUUUAUGUUUCUCAGUGACACUCAGUGUGACCCACUUGCCAGGAUGCUGUUUUAAAUCUGACUUAAACAUUCUUGGAAACCAACAAUAAUUAAUCUAUAGCAUAUCAGAAAAGAUGAAGCCCAAAGAAAUUAAUUUUACCAAUGAGAUUUAACUUAGAAAUCUCAGAACUGUUUUUACUUUUUGGUAAGUCAUUUCAAAUGUGUUAAUGCACAUCCUUUUAGGAGUCCUUCCCAUUGAGACGCUUUACAGGAAAUUUUUUUCCUUCUCCACUGCUUUCAACGCCAGCAGUCCUCAACUUUCCAAGGUUCCAACUGCAGCAUUCCCCCAUUAACGAAGUAUGGACCGUGGUUUUUUGUCAAGUACUAAAUAAAAUAACAGAUCUUACCAGGAUCCAUCGCAGGAGGGUCAGGAACCCAACUAGGGGGA